GAUGUUGCCUGAAAAGUUUUGCAUGGAAUAAUGGAAUAGGACUUCGGUUCUAUUUUGUUGGUUUUCGGAUCCGAAGUAAUGAUCAAAAGAGACAGGCGGGGACGUUUGUAUGGUUGCGCUAGAGGUGAAAUUCUUGGACCGUAAUCAGACAAACUAAAGCGAAAGCAUUCGUCAAGCAUGUUUUCAUUGACCAUGAGCGAAAGUCAGAGGCUCGAAGACGAUCAGAUACCGUCCUAGUUCUGACCAUAAACGAUGCCAACUGACGAUCCGUGGUGGUAGUAUAAUAACCUUCCCCACGGGCAGUCCCCGGGAAACCUUUAAGUCUUUGGGUUCCGGGGGAAGUAUGGUUGCAAAGCUGAAACUUAAAGGAAUUGACGGAAGGGCACCACCAGGAGUGGAGCCUGCGGCUUAAUUUGACUCAACACGGGAAAACUCACCCGGCCCGGACACUAUGAGGAUUGACAGAUUGAAAG
rnacentral:rRNA from 1 species